CCUCCUGGUGUGUUCUGUGGAUCGACCAAAGAAGGGAACCAAGGAGAAAAACCCUAAGUUCUACAAAUCUGCAAGAUUGAAAGGGAAAUCAAGACCAAAUAACAUGCAUGAACUCGAUUCUCUAGCAAUCUAAGCUUGUCCUACAAAGAGGCGUUAAGGAAGAAAGUUCGAGUCAAGUGAAGCAACAAGGGAAUCAAGACCGAGGCGUUAAGGAAGAAAGUUCGAGUCAAGUGAAGCAACAAGGGAAUCAAGACCGAGGUAAAUCUCAUGUCUAGUUAUCAAGCUCCGCCCCGGUUCGAACACACCUCAAGCCCGUCAAGCGUUCCGCAUUUUGCAAAAGUCAAUGUUAAACAUUUUGUUAAUAUGUUUUCGUCUAGUAGUUAAACCUAGUUUUAUUAUGAUUGUCUUUUGAAGAACUUGUCGUAAGUACGUACAUAAACUUGAUGGUUUGCAAGUAAAA